rnacentral:rRNA from 1 species
AAACGGCCGAGUUAGCGUGAGCGUGCUAAGGUAGCGUAAUAAAUAGCCUCUUAAUUGGAGGCCAGUGAAUGGCAAGACUAGGACACCUGUACCUUGUGUGAAAAAACAACUUUUCAUUUGGGUGAAAAGACUCAAAUAAUAAAGGAAGACGAAAAGACCCCGCGGAACUUUACCUUUUCUAGUCUUCAUAUGCUCAGAAACAUAAAAACAAAAGGUUUGAUUGGGGCAAUCUCGGAACCACCCAAACUUCUGAUCCACAAAUAAAAAUAUAUAAAACUUAAUAAGGACCAAAAAGAAGUUACCCCGGGGAUAACAGCGUAAUCCAAUUUGAGAGUACACAUCGAAAAUUGGGUUUGCGACCUCGAUGUUGGCUUAAGGAUAUCCACAUAAGUGCAAC